CUGGAGGUAUCAGAAGUGCGAAUGCUGACAUAAGUAACGAUAAAGCGGGUGAAAAGCCCGCUCGCCGGAAGACCAAGGGUUCCUGUCCAACGUUAAUCGGGGCAGGGUGAGUCGACCCCUAAGGCGAGGCCGAAAGGCGUAGUCGAUGGGAAACGGGUUAAUAUUCCCGUACUUGGUGUUACUGCGAAGGGGGGACGGAGAAGGCUAUGUUGGCCGGGCGACGGUUGUCCCGGUUUAAGCGUGUAGGUGUGUGUUCCAGGUAAAUCCGGUUCACUUUAACACUGAGGCGUGACGACGAGGCACUACGGUGCUGA
rnacentral:rRNA from 1 species